UCACAGAACAGCUCAUCUUGUCUCUAAGUAAACUCUAAGAUUUCCCUGAAAAUAGCAUUAGUUUUAUGCACUGGGAAGUAUUUAUUUAGAAACUUGGUUACCAUUUGUUCCCAUGAUGUGAUAUUAUUAACAGGCAACGUAUUGAACCAAGAACAAGUUAUAUUUUUAAAGAGAAUAAAAACAAUCUAAGCUUAACAUCUUCAUUUGAAAAAUGUUCAUAGUUAAAAGUUUGGUGAACAACAUGAAAAUCAUUCAAAUGAUUGUAUGGGUCUUCGUUUUCUAAGUAGUAGAAUGUUAGAGACAAUUUAGCAUACUAGGUUUUAACUUGAAACUCCUAAUAGCUACAUUUGGGUAUCUUAUCCCUAAAGUGUUUAAAUUAGCUAAAUGACUUAAGUAGUCCUCAAAUGGGCUCUGUUUUGGUGCUUGUGGUUAUUAUUCUAAAUCUAUUUCAAUUUUAUCCUCACUUUUAACCUUUGAUGCAAUGUGCCUAUGUGUAUGAAGUGUCGUUUCCAAUUCAAGAUCUAUAGGUUCUAGAUCAUAUAAUUGUGACCUUCGACCGUGCAUGCAAAGAGCACAUAAAAAUUAAAACAAAACUACUGGAAAUAAAGAGAAAGGAGAAGUUACAAUACUAACAUUAUCACGUUGUUACACACUUACUAUGAUAAUACACUCUAAACCUACACACAAUGUUAUUUACACAAUAUUUACAAAGAAAAUUAAUUCUACAAAUUAAAAUGACUUACCUCCUUAGUAACGGCAACAAAAACUUUUUAUACAAAUUUUGUUAUACUCACAAGCACACGAAUCUAUUGUAGUAUACAUUUAUGUAAAUUAAUAUCGAUCCCACGAGGAGGUAAAUUUAAUUAUAUGUAAUGUUAAUUUUCCAUGUGCAUUUGUGAAUUGGCUAGAGAUGAAUUUUGAGUAAUACUAAGAUUUAAAAAUAAAAAAGGUAGGUCUAAAUGACGGAUGAAAAUAAUUAAAAUAAAACAUUUGAAUCUUUGGAUUCACACUCAACACUUAAUCAUGGACUUAAUAUUCCUUUUUAGUUUCAAUCAAUUUAUAAGGUGGUAUUUCCACUACUCAUAAACCUUACUCUAAUAAAUAUGAUAUCAAGCACUCAGUGUGCCAGAUGGUAAUGAUCUUCUGGUAAAUAUGGUGUCAAGUACAUGUUGUGCCAGACAAUAAUAAUUCUUAUGUCGACAGCGUGGCAAGACCGUCCACUAAAUAAAUUAGAUAAAUUUUUUGUUAACGUUGAGUCAAGACUAUCCACAAAUACAAGACAUGAGUCUAUUUUUAAUAAAUAUGGUGUAAAGUGCUCAUUGUGCCAGAUAGUAACAAUCUUUUACUACGGAGAGUCGGUAUACCAUGCAAAAUCUAGACAAGAUACACUAUUUAUUGACAAUGAGUCAAAACAACCAUAUAAAUCAGAGAGGAAAAGAAAACAAACUUACUAAAUUAAGCCCAUGGAUCAUGUUCAAGCAACCCAAGCUUGAAAUUAAAUUAGCUACUCAUAAUUGAAAUAAAGCUAGAAUAGUAAUUUAAUUAAAAUACGUAAAAGCUACAAGAUGGAGAGAGAAUUACAGAAACUGAGCUUAAUUUGGAUUCAAAGCUACCAAAUUAGAGGGGAGCCCUCUAUUUAUAUAUACAAUGAGUAAAUUAUAGCUAUCCGAUGAAAAUAAUCUGGACGCUCAGGAUUACACUGUGUGGAAAGAUCUGAUUGGUUAGAACACAUCAUUGGGUCCAACAAUAUGCUGCCACAUCAUCAGUCAAUGUCACAUCAUCAUUUUUGUCCAUUAAGAUGUUGUCAUGUCAUCAAUCAACGCCACAUCAGCAUUUCUUGGUCCAAUGGGAUACUGUCACGUCAUCAAUCAAUGCCACAUUAGCUAGUUAAUGCCAUGUUAGGUGGGCCUCAGCAAAAUUCUAAAAUUAUAAUUUUGCUAUUUAUGUCAUUCCUAAAGUUUUUAGUUCUUUUGAGCUCAAAAGUGCUAUACGUUUUGCAGUCUGAUUUUUCAGUAAUCAUGAAAUAACCAAAAUACCCUUGAAAUAUAUAAAAUACUCAAAUUAUAAUAAAACUAAAAAAAUGGAACCGCGCUUUGAGCGGCUUUAAAAAAAGAAUUUAGUAUUAUCAUUUUUUUCUUAUUCUACUUUUAACGAUUUAUUCUAUUUGAUUAAAAGGCAGGCCUUCAAAAAAAUGAAAAAAAAAUAAAGCAAAGCUAAAAUCAAAAAGACUUUUUUAAUUAUUUAAAAUUGCAUGAGCUAAAUUAACACCACGGAAAUAGAAGUGCCAUAGAUGCACCUUGUCUAAGCCAAAACCUUGGAAACCUGAGGCUAAUAUAUCACCGUGAGGCCACCUGGAGAAGGAGCAGAAGAUGCAUCACAGUAGCCUCUUAGUAUGUUCCCUUCUUCGGUAGUGAAUCCGAGAGAGGUGAGCAUUGCAGGGCAGCAAUUACAGGUGAUGAUAUCAAUAGCGCGGCAACAGUCAGGGCCAAUAUCAGCCUGGCUAUUAAGGAAGAAUAUAACAAUCUCAUUUGAGCAUGAUUUCAACUCCAUUAAUGUGUUCCAGCACUCUGUAAGGCCUUCGCUAGCUUCAAGUCUUGUUGCAAGAUCGUAGCCUGAUUUCAUAUUGUUGUCAAGGCGAUCAUUCCUGCUGGUUGCAUUUGCAAUAUUGGCCAUGAUCAGGCAAGUCAGGGUCAAAAUGAAAAACACAUGUUUUAGAGCCAUUGCUAUUUUCUAUUCUUUUAUGUUGUGUUUAUGUUUACGUGGGAUAUCAUAUUUUUUGUUGCUAUUUAUAAAUUAAGGUGAGGCAGAGGAGAAGAGUGAUUUAAAAUGUUUAUAAAUUAUUUCCUAAUUUAUGAUCAAGAAGGUUUCAAUUAGAUAAGAUAGUGGGUCUUUUCAUGAACUAUUACAUAGGGGUGGGCAAAAUACCCGACCCGACCCAAAACAUUUCGGGUUCGGAUCGGAUCGGGUUUGACACAACUCAAAAGUGUAUUACUUCCAAGUAUAAGAGUGUCUAGUUAUAAUAUAAUCUGGUGAGUCUGGGGUCGAAUCACAGGGAAUUUUAAAAUCUAGUUGUCAAUUUGUUAAACAAAGAAAUUAAUUAUGGGGAAAAUAAAUUAUUUGAAAUCAAUUUAAAGAUAUGCUAAGAUUACGGGAUCCACUCUCAGUAUUCAAACUAUAAUUUGAAUACUAUCUCAUUUAUAUUUUGUCUCACUUUUACCAGUUAAUUAUUAUAUCAUUUACUUCUAUGUGUGUGGAUAAAUAUGCAAUAAGGGUGUGUUUGGUUGUAGUAUUAAGAGGGUAUUAAAUUACUAUUUACAUUAAGUUAAUACCAAACCCAUGUUUGGGAAAACAUCACAAAGGAUUGGGGUGGGAGGCUAAUGCGUCAACUGACGCAUUAGCUAAUCCCGACUGUGAGUCGGGAAAAGCUAAUGCGUCAGUUGACGCAUUAGCUUUGUUUUUUUUUUUCUUUUGCUUUUAACUUUUAUUUUUUGUUUUAUUAUUAUUAUAAUACUAAAAUAAUAAAUACAUAUAGUUUUUAAUAUAAUAUAAUAUUUUAUUUUAUUUGUUUUUACAUUAUAAUUAUUAAUAUAAAUUAAUAAAUAAAUAAUUUAUCAUUCAAUAAUAGUAUUUUUUAUUUUUACAUUAUAAUUUAUUAAUAAAUUUAUAACUUAUUAUAACUAAUAAAAAUAUUUAAAUAUGCAUAAAUUUGAAUAAUAUUAAUUUAAAAUUAAUAAUAAUAUAAAUAAUAACAUAAAAUAUUAAUGCAAUUUAAAUAUAUUAAUAUAAUAUAAAACAUUAAUAUAAUAUAAUAUAAUAUUUAAUUUAAAUUAAUUUAAAAAAUAAUACAGUACAGUGUAGCACCAAACAUUGUACAACAUUAUUAUAAUACAGUGCUAAUACAAUACAGCAUAAUACAAUACAUCAGUAUUAAAAUAAUGCAAUACAACAUAAUACAAUACAGUGUGUCAAACGCACCCUAAGGUAACUAAUGUGCCACACUAUAUUAAUGUGUCAACAUUAUGUUAAAAUACCAUACAAAUCCAAAGAAAUUUAUAAAUUAAUAUGACAUAAAAAUAACUAGAAAAAAAUAAAAUAAACUUAAAAACUCAUUUUAGAAAAUAAUAAAUUUAAUAGUUUGAAACAUUGAGCUUCACUCUUCAUCUCAAUUUAAUAAAAUUAGCCACUCAUAUUGAAAGAAAACACAACACUCUUUUUGUUUUAUAAACUUUUUGAAAUAUAUUACAAAGAAAAUUGAUACAGAUGAAAAGAAAAGAAAAAAAAAGAAAGAAAUUCUUCAGCUACACCCUUAGCUAUCACUCUCUCUCAGGCUUAAGCUUCUCUCCACCUCUGCUCCCUGCAUUUCCUUUCCCUUUUAUAGGCAAGGAAUGCAUUAUCUUUAUUUAUUUUAUUAUUAUUAUAUAUAUAUGUACAUUAAAAUGUGCAAUGUACAUAUCUUUAUUUAUUUUGUUCUUUUGUUCUUAUUUUAUUUUAUUUUUUAUUUACAUCUCUUUAAUUAUGCUUCCAAAUUGUUCCAGUAGUCCUUCUUUUUUCCCGCUUUCAAUUCCAAUUUAUUCCUAAAAAUAUUUAUAAGAUAAAAAUUAGAAUAUUGCAAAUUAAUUUAACACAAAAAUUUAUUUGGGGAGCAUUCAUAUAAUUUAUAAGUUAUGCGCGCAUUAAUCAACACUUUAAGUGAAAAACUAAUAAUUUUAUCCUUAUUACACGUACACUUUUUAGUGUUAAUCACACCCCCUAACCAGUUUAUUGCUAGGCCCUAGCAAUUUAAGCGAUAAAAAUUUAGAGAAAUUUCAAAACCAAAUUGAAUUUUUUUUUUUAAAUUGUGUUCACUUCUUUCAUUGGAUCAAGGAAAAGAAUUAAAUAAAAAUAUAAGCAUUAUCUUCAGCCUAAAGAAAAUCACACCCACAUAAAUCAGUUAAGUAAGAUCAUGUAAAAUGAUCAAUUAUUAGAACUACAUUAAUCAAGCCACUUUUAAGAAUGGUACGUCAAACCCCAAAACUUCACGAUUUAGAGUGACUCUUUCAAAAGAAAAUAUAUCCCAAAUUAAAUUGUCACUCUAAAAAUGGUAAAUUUGAGAGAAUAACAAAACAAUAUCACAAGCUCUCACCAAGAUAAAAAUAUAAUGCCCACAACUUAGAAAUAAAAUGAUCUCAAGUCCAAGGAAUUACUAGCAAAAGUUAUUUUUAUUUAUAUUCAUCACCACAUCUUUUAGUCCAUAUUACCAGCUUUUACUUCAGACUAUAGUUCCCUAAAAUUAAGAAGGACUUUUAUUAGAACGUAACGUAUGCUAGGGUCAUGGCUAACAAAAAAAGUAAUAGGGAAAACAAAAAUAUAUAUUUGAAAAAUAAGGGACUUUUUAGAGAUUACAAGGUGCUUUUUUUUCUUGGAAUUCUUUUCUUUUUUUUUUGUCUCCUUUUUUUAAUUUUUAUUUUUAUAUACAUAUCCUCUCUUUUUUUCCAUAACACAAUUAUUAAGAAUAAAUAAUCAUCCCUAUAUUCAAACAUAAUUGAGUGGUGGAAAACAUAAAAUAUAAGGUGAUACUCCACAUUGGAGUGGGAUAAGAUACUAGGUUAUCAAAGGAAAAGUUUUUUUUAAAAAGUUCAAAGGGGUUAACUAUGGAUUCUUUAUAAUAGGGUUGGGUAGAAAGGCUCAAACGGAUCAAAGAUGGCCUUCUGUCAUCUUUUGGGGCUAUAAAUAAUCUUUCGUAUCCACUAGUUCAAUGGACUUUUAGAUGCGGCUGCACAAACUUUCUCUUUUUUUUUAAGAAAAUAUUGAGAUCUUGUGCAAUAAAUUGUGAAGUUGUAUAGGCAAACAUGGUUACUCUUCAAGGAUAAUAGGCUCAAAAACUCACUUGGACUUUUCAUAACGUGUACAUUCCUCCAAAUGGCUUAAUCAAUUUCACUCAUCCAAUUUCUCAAUUUACGUUUCAACAUGUAAAGGGGAAAACAUAGUCUAACAUAACUCAAGGCCAAAGAUAAUACGAAUACCAAAAUUUAAAAUCAUCAUGUUAUCCAAUGUUAAAAGAUCACAUCGAAAACGAAAUCUUUUUUUUUUUUAAGAAACACUAAAAAAUUGGGACUUAUUGCAGAAAUUUAUAGGAGAUGAUUAAGAGAAAAAGACAGAAAACAAAAAGUUAGAAAAUGUUUUUUUUAAAGAAAACACACUAAAAUUAAGAAGAUGCGUUUCUAGAGACACUACAUUCUAUAUUCUGCUAUUUUCGACUCAAAUUUUUAUCCAAAGUUAGUCUUUACAAAAAAAAAUAGUAAAAACAUCACCGUGACUGAGACAUUCCACAACUAUCAAUUAUUCCCUCCCCCCAACCUGAAGGAGACAUUGUCCUCAAUAUCUAAAUAAAGGAGUAGAGUUUAGAAGAUAUCAACUGGCCACUACUGGAAAUAUUUACAAACGGAGAGUUAAAUCUAAUAUACACUUUUUAUGAGAGUUACUGCCAUCGUCAUCAGUUGCUCAAUCCAACGCCAAAGUCAUGGGAUCUGGCUCUGGUUUGUAAGUUUCCAAAAAAUCAAGUAAUUUAUUAGCAGUAAGAGCACAAAUGAAGAGUUUUUUCGCUGAUGACGAAAUGAAAUAAUUUUUAAUUGCAUGAUUAAUAAAUGUUAUUAAGUUAUCAUAAAAGUUAUUAACAUUUAACAAACCGAUGGGUUUUUUGUGGAUAUUCAAAUGGGCCCAAGAAGCAAAUGUAAUUAGCGCCUCUAAAGUUGCAAGAUCUCCUAGCAAGAAAAUGACAGCGUCAGCAUGAUUUAACAUUUCAAAUAUUCUUUCUUGCAUACCUGAGACAACUAACUCUUCUCUAGUUGAUGGGUCUAGUAGACAUCCUAAAGGUUUUAAGGCUUUUGGAAUGAUGUCUAGCACUUGGCUUCCUCGAAUGAAAGCAGUUUCAGAGACAAGCUUUGAAAACCCUCAGCCACCUCCUCCAUAUAAAAGAUGUAGUUUUCUCUCUGUUAUAACAUGACCAAGAUCUAUGGCUGCCUAAACGAACUCCUUAUACUUUCCAUAGCGAAAUCCAGAAAGUACAUAAAUAUUUUUAAGUUGACUGCUUGAAGUUGCUACCAUUAAAACAAUUCUAAAAAGAAACAAUUUGUGAGUGCUUGAAAAGGAGCUUCUAUUUAAGGAUCUUGGUAACGGACAUAAUGACAUACAUCUAUAAAUGGGGUGGUGUGUUUGUCAUAUGACGCGUGAAGCUUUUAGCUUAAUAAUUCAAAGGCAAACAGUGAAAAGAAAAAGCAAACAGUAAUUAGAUAAAAAAAGACACACAAUAAUAAUAAUAAUGCAAAAGAUAAAAGAACAGUAAAAUAAAAUGAUAUUUACUUGUAGUUGUGAUUGUGGCUUACAUCUUCCUCUGGUUUUACAUCCAGUAACGGUUUCAAUGCCCUUUAUGGGUCGAGGAUAGGCUUCCCAUCCAGUUUUCUUAUAAACUGGCAAACAUGGUCUUUUAGAGUCAGAUUCCCAAGACUAAACUAUGCACUUUCCUUUUGGAACAGCUUCCACAAAUUUUGAAUUUCACGUUGAACAUAUCCGCUCGGAUGCGUCUCAAGAGAUCGUAAGAUAUCAUCCAACGAUUCUUUACUCAUGCCAUCUUUAACGAAUUUGAUUUUAUCUUCACGAUUUAUAGAAAUUAUUCCUAAAGUUUUACAACGUGGCUUUUUGCAAACAAGUCUUACACAGUGAGAACAUUCAGAGCCAAGUUGCUUAACUCUUCUUUUCUUAGCAAAUGUACUUUUACUAAAACCAGGCAUGUAGGAAAUGAAUGGAUCAAAAAACUCACCUGCCAGUCGGACCUUUACUUCAAUUAACCAGCGAAUGUCAGCAGGAAUCCCAUUGAUCAUUAACAAAUGCAGUCGUUCACAACAAGCAUUGUAAAUCUUCGUAAGAGCAUUUUGAGGGAGAGAAGGAAAACGUUGAUGCAAAUUUCGUUGUAUUUCUUCUAUCUUGACAUUGAGAUUUCAGUUAUUGUGGGAAACUGAGAAUACCGACUUAAAAAGUCACAGAGUAUCGUUAUCCGCCAUUUAUACGGGAGAGUGAAUCAAAACAAAACGAAUCAAAUCUGUAAAAUCAAAUCAAAAGUGAAGAAGAACAACAAAAUAAAACAAUAACACACAAGGAAUAUAACUCACCUUCGUCCUUUUAUUGAAUUUACCUCCAGUUCUAAUUGCAUAUUAUAAAUACCAUCCUCUAUUUCCUUGAGUUGUCUUUCUGGAUCUUUCACAUAGGAUACUAACUCUGGUGGUUGUAGAUCCCAAAUGGGAUGUGAUUUACAAAAUCAGAGCAAUUUCCUCAGGUGAAAUUUUACAUGUAAAAGCUCUUUAAGAUAAUCGAAAAGGAAACUUGUCAUGGAGGUACUCAUGACAAGUAUAAAACUUUAGUGAGCUAAAGCACAAUUUUCAAACAACACACAAUUAAAAACAAUGCAAUGUACUCCAUUGAAGACAUAGGGAAAAGGAAAAAAAAUCAAACAAUUCAAACAAUAAAGUAACAGUAAAUCAAAUUCACAAAAACUUAAAAUGAAAAGGCUUAAUUAAAAUUUGGUAGGUCACUCAAAUUGAUUUCGGUAUCUGCUUCACGUGGUUGGUAUUCCAAAUAUGGUUUUAAUCUUUGACCAUUAACUUUAAAUGUGACACCAUCCUUUGGAUUCUCAAUUUCUAUGGCUCCAUAUGAUACACAUUUUUUAUAACAAAUGGAUCAUUCCACUUUGACUUUGACUUUAACUUUCCUGGAAAUAAAUAAAAACGAGAAUUAUAAAGCAACACUUUUUGACCAAUUUCAAAUGUUUUCCUAAAAAUUCUUUUGUCAUGAAAAAAUUUGGUAACCUUAAUAAUUCUGGAAUUCUCAUAUGCAUCAUUUCUUAAUUCCUCAAGUUCAUUUAAUUGCAAUUUACGCACAUUACCAGCAUCUUCAAGAUUUCAAUUAAAAGCUUUAAUCGUCCAAAAUGAUUUACGUUCAAGUUCAACUGGUAAAUGGCAAGAUUUUCCAUAAACAAGCUGAUAGGGUGACAUUCCUAAAGAUGUUUUAAAAGCAGUACGAUAUACCCAAAGUGCAUCAGUUAGUCAAAGAGACCAAUCUUUACGAUUUGGAUUAACUGUAUUUUUUAAAAUUUGUUUUAUCUCCCUAUUUGCUAAUUCAACUUGACCACUUGUUUGAGAGUGAUAAGGGAUAGCAACUUUAUAUGUAAUUCCAUAUUUCUUCAUUAAGGACUCAAAUGGCUUAUUACAAAAAUGCUUACCUCCAUCACUGAUAAUGGCUCGAGGUAUUCCAAAUCUGCUCAAAAGAUUUUCUUUUAAAAAGCGGAUCAUAAUCUUGUGAUCAUUGUGCCAACAAGGAAUCGCCUCGAUCCAUUUUGAAAUAUAAUCAACAGUAACCAAAAUGUAUACAAACCCAAAUGAUGAUGGAAAAGGGCCCAUAAAAUCAAUUCCCCAACAAUCAAAUAUUUCAAUGACAAGAAUGGGGUUUAAAGGCAUCAUGUUUCGCUUUGAAAUAGACCUUACCAUUUGACAAUUCGUACACACUCUACAAAAUGCAUGUGAAUCUUUAAAUAAUGUAGGCCAAUAAAAUCCACACAGUAAUAUUUUUGCAGCUGUCUUUUUUGAAGAAAAAUGGUCACUGCGUGCUUCAGAAUGACAAAAUUGAAUAACCCUACUUACCUCGUCGUCUGGUAUGCAUCUUCGAAAUAUUUGAUCAGAGCAGUACUUGAAUAGGUAUGGAUCAUCCCAGUAAAAGCUUUUCACUUUUGUUAAGAAUUUCUUCUUGUUCUGGGAACUCCAGUCACAUGGAAUUUCACAUGUUGUAAGAUAAUUAACAAUAUUAGCAUAUCAAGGCAUUUUGUUUAUAGAAAAUAAAAAUUCAUCAGGGAAAGAAUCAUUGAUUGGUGUUGUUUCAAUUGAAGACUCAUUCAUAAGUCUUAAAAGAUGAUCUGCAACAACAUUUUCAGCACCCUUUUUGUCCUUGAUUGUCAAGUUAAAUUCUUGAAGUAGCAAAAUCCAUCGUAUCAACCUUGGUUUGGCAUCCUGUUUUGACAUUAAAUAUCUCACAGCAGCAUGAUCAGAAUAAACAAUAGUGGAUGAACCAAUUAAAUAUGAACGAAAUUUAUCCAAUGCAAAUAUUACAGUAAGUUUUUUUUCUCAGUUGUAGUGUAAUUCAUUUGAGCCCUAUUCAAAGUUCUACUUGCAUAAUAGAUGACAAAGGGCUUAUCUUCCGUUCUUUGACCCAGAACAGCUCCAACGGCAUAAUCACUGGCAUCACAUAUUAGCUCAAAAGGUAAAGACCAAUCAGGAGGUUGCAUUAUUAGGGCUGAUCUCAAAAGAGUAGUUAUUUUUUCAAAAGUUUGUUGAGAAUCUUUAGUCCAUUCAAAAAGUAUGUCUUUUAUUAGGAGAUUAUAAAGUGGUCUAGAUAUGACACUAAAGUCUUUUAUAAACCUCCUAUAAAAUCCUGCAUGUCCUAAAAAGGAAUGGACUUCUCUAAUUGUCUUUAGUGAGGGUAAUUUUGAAAUGACUUCAACUUUGACUUUGUCAACUUCAAUUCCUUUUAAAGACACAACAUGGCCCAAGACAAUUCCAGAAGUGGUCAUGAAAUGGCAUUUUUCCUAAUUUAAAACUAGUCCUUUUUCUUUGCACCUUUCCAAAAGUUUUUUUAAAUUAUCAAGACAUGUAUCAAAAGAAUUGCCAAAUACAGUUAAAUCAUCCAUAAAAACCUCUGGACAAUUUUCAACCAUAUCACUAAAAAUGUUUAGCAUGCACCUUUGAAAUGUUGCAGGAGCAUUACAAAGUCCAAAGGGUAUUCUCCUAAAUGCAAAUGUUUCAAAUGGGCAUGUGAAUGUGGUCUUGAUAAUAGCCAGAGUAGUCAUCAAGAAAGCAAUAGUAGGGAUGUCCAGCUACUCUUUUGAGAAUUUGGUCUAGAAAUGGAAAGGGAAAAUGAUCUUUUCUAGUGGCAUCAUUUAAUUUUCUGUAAUCAAUGCACAUGCGCCAACUAGAUGGAAUUCGUGUUGGGAUUGGUUCACCUUUUUUUCAUUUUUUACAACGGUUAUUCCAGAUUUCUUUGGUACUACUUGUAUUGGACUUACCCAUUUACUAUCAAAGAUAGGAUAGAUAAUUCAUACAUCUGGUAGUUUAAGGACCUCAUUCUUUACCACUUCUUUCAUAUGAGGGUUUUAUCUUCUUUGUGGUUGACAGGUUGUUUUAGCAUUUUCCUCUAAGUGUAUUCGGUGUGUGCAAAUUAAAGGAUUAAUGCCUUUUAUGUCCUUCAAGAUCCAACCAAAUGUAAUUUUAUGCCUUUUUAGUAUAGAUAACAACUUACCUUCUUGAUCAUGCAUGAGUUAGGAAGAAAUUACCACCUGAUAUGUCUGCUGCUUUCCAAGAUAAGCAUACUUCAAUUCUUCUUGUAAGGGCAUUAAUUCGAGCUCUGGUGCUUCCUCUUCGUUUGGUUCUUCAGGUUGUAUCGUAUCUUCAAAGUUCGAUUGGUCAUUGUCACCUGUAGAUACCUGCAUAGAAUCAAGUGUAGGGCAUAUGUUAGCAGUAUCACAAUCUAAUUUCUUACUUGAUUUAAAAGAACCAGCAAAAUAAAUUUCCGCAGAGUUUGUAAAAUUCUCAUCCUGAAUGUGUUCCUCAAUGAUUGACUCGAUGAGAUCAAUCUCCUCAUUCUCAUUAUCAUCAUCUUCUUGGUGGUGAGGUUGUUUACACAUGUUGAACACAUUGAGUUCCAGUGUCAUGUUGCCGAAAGAUAAAUUCAUUAAUUCAUUCUUACAAUUUAUCAAAGCAUUAGUAGUACCUAAAAAUGGUCGACCCAAUAUAACAGGAAUUUGUUUGCAUUCAUUUGUAAUUAGUUUCGUUUUCAAAACAAUAAAAUCCACAAGAUAUAUGAAUUUAUCGACCUGGACUAAUACAUCUUCAAUUAUUCCUUUUGGAACCUUAAUCGAUCUAUCAGCAAGUAAAAGAGUGGUAGAAGUUGGUUUUAACUCACCGAGAUUGAAUUGUUGGUACACUGAGUAAGGAUGCAAAUUAACACUAGCACCAAGAUCAAGUAAAGCAUGUUCAAUUUUAUGAUCCCCAAUAGUGCAAGAAAUAGUUGAACAACCAGGAUCCUUGUAUUUCAAAGGACUAUUGGUUGAGAGAAUGGAACUUACAUGUUCUGCUAGAAAAGCUCUCUUUUGCACCUUAUGUUUCCUUUUCACCGUGCACAGAUCUUUUAGAAAUUUAGCAUAAGAAGAUACAUGUUUAAUGACAUUCAGCAGAGGAAUGUUGACCUUUAUUUGUUUAAAAACUUUAUAAAUGUUUGGACUGUGGUUUGAUUUCUUUGGCUUGAUUAGUGCUUGAGGAAAUUGGGGUAUAGGAGGAGAGUUGGUUAUUUCUUCAUGGUUAAAGGUUCGACAGACUCUUCCCUAUUUUCUGAAAUUGAAUCUUUACUAGUUUCAUGAGGGUCCAUAAUGUAUUUUUUAACCACCUUACCAUCACAAAGGGUUAUAACCGAUUUGACUUGACUCAUAUUUUGGUUUCCUGAAUUUCCCAUUUGAGGAUGUUGUUGACUCUUGGGGUUUAGUUCAGGUUGAGCAGGAAACUUUCUUUUUUCAUGCAUGGUCAGAGCAAAUGUAAGUUUGGAGAUAGUUUCUGUCAAUUUGGUUAAGGUUUGCAUUGUUUGGUUAUUGAUCGACUCUUGUUAUUCAAUAAACAAAUGCAAUGUGUCUUCCAGAGUUUUUCUUGGUGGUGGGACAUAUGGUGGGUAACUCUGGGGAUUUUGGAAAUUUUGACAUAGAGGAACUGGUUGUGAAGAUUGUGCAUGAUUGUCAUUUCUCCAACUACAAUUUGGGUGGUUUCUCCAACCAGAGUUGUAAGUUUGGGAGUAUGGAUAUGGAUUUGCCCUUUUGAAAUUGUCAAUGACAUUUACUUGUUCGUGCAAACUUUCUCUCAAAGCUGGCAAGGUUGGACAGUCCUGCGUAGAAUGGUCAGUAGAAUCGCAGACAUAACAUGAAAUAUUUUGAACAGACUUUACAUGAUCAUUCUUUUUCAACUCUAAUGCUUUGAAUUUUCUAGCUAAGGAUGCAAAUUUGGCUUGAAAAUCAUGGUUUUCCCCAAGGUUAUGCAUGCCUCCACUAAAUGGAGAUGACUGGGGUUUACUUGAUGACUCAUAAGAACCAACUGUAUCCCAGUGUUGUGCAUUCUCUGCUAUAUAGUCAAGAUAGUCUAAUGCAUCUUCAGGACUUUUAUCCCUAAACUCACCAUUACACAUCAUUUCAACGACUUGUCUACCUUGGGAUGUUAAUCCCUCGUAGAAAUAAGACACUAAUCUACAUGUUUCAAAACCGUGGUGUCAGCCAUAUCUAAGGAUGGUAAAGGUAAUCUUCUAAUUAAUCUUCCACUAUUUGUACGAGACCAACGACACAUGCAAUGCUAAUGAUGUGUGCUAAACUAACGAUGCAUAAAACGCUAAAUGAAAAUUGCAGAAAAUAAAAAUAAAUUGAAAAUUAAAUAAGCAAAAAAAAUGCGAAAUGAAAAUAAACAAACUGAAAAAUAAAUAAAUAAAUUAGGCGGUGAAACCAGCCAUAAAUAAAGAAAUGAAAAGAAACAAUUUAGGCGAUAUUUUAAAACCAACCAUAUAAUAAAACAUAAAAUUAAAUAAAUUAAUGCACAAGAAUAAACAAACUGAAAUUAAAAUGCUAGGCGGUAGAACCGACCAUAUAAACAAAAAUACAUAAAUUAACAAAAUUUAAAUAAUAGUCAGGCGAUAGAACUGACCAUUUAAAAUAAAUGUAGAAAGUAAAUUGCAGAAAUUUAAAGAAAUAAAUUCGAUUUGGGGACUGAUUUGCAAAGAUUUCUGGGUUAAAAUGAAGUUUCUCACAAAUAUUGUGGACAAUGUUAAAGUUUGAAAUGAGGAGGGGUGCUAACUGAAAUUUUGAAAAAAGAGAAUAAAAUAGAAUAGUAACAAAUAAUAAUAAUAAAAUAAAAAUGAAGUAAAGACAAACUAACACCAAAUUUAAAAAACUCCCAGGCAACGGCGCUAAAAACUAAACACGACUCAAAAGUAUAUUACUCUCAAGUAUAAGAGUGUCUAGUUAUAAUAUAACCUGGUGAGUCCGAGGUCGAACCACAGGAAAUUUUAAAAUCUAGUUGUCAAUUUGUUUAACAUAUAUGUUAAGGUUACGAGAUCCACUCUCAGUAUUCAAACUAUAAUUUUAAUACUAUCUCAUUUAUAUUUUGCCUCACUUUUACCAGUUAAUUAUUAUAUCAUUUAAUUAUAUGUGUGGAUAAAUAUGGAAUAAGGUACCUAAUGUGCCACACUAUAUUAAUUUGUUGAUAUUAUGUCAAAAUAUCAAACAAAUCCAAAGAAAUUUAUAAAUUAACAUGACAUAAAAAUAAUUAGAAAAAAAUAAAAUAACUUAAAAACUCAUUUGAGAAAAUAAUAAAUUUAAUAGUUUGAAACAUUGAGCUUCACCAUUUACCUCAGCUUAACAAAAUUAGUCACUCAUAUUGAAAGAAAGCACAACAUUCUUUUUAUUUUAUAAACUUUUUAAAAUAUAUUACAAAGAAAAUUGAUACAAACGAAAAGAAAAAAAAAAGAAAUUAUUCAGCUACACCCUUGGCUAUCACUCUCUCUCAGGCUUAUAUAUAUAUAUAUACAUUGAAAUGUGUAAUGGUCAAGUGGUCAUGAUGGCCACUUGACCAUCACAAGAAACCAAAUUGCUUGGUUUUUGUUCUUUUUUCAUUUUUUCAUUUUUUUUAUUUACAUAUCUUCAAUUAUGCUUCCACAUUGCUCCAGUAGUCUUCUUUGUUACCGCUUUCAAUUCUAAUUUAUUCUUGAAAAAUAUUUAUAAGAUAAAAAUUAACAUAUUGCGAAUUAAUUUAACAUAAAAAUUUAUUUGGGGAGCAUUCAUAUAAUUUAUAAGUUAUGCACGUAUUAAUCAACACUUUAAGUGAAAAACUAAUAAUUUUAUCUUAUUACACGUACACUUUUUAGUGUUAAUCAGGGUAGUUAAUAAUACCCGAUCGGAUGAAAUCUUUUAAACCCAAUCGGGUUAUGAUCGGAUCGGGUGGUACCUGAUCCGAAACCCGAUCGGGUUGCUUUAUAAAAAAACUAACAGCUAACACACGCACGCCACACACACAAUGACACAAAUCACAUAACACAGAUUCACAAAGCACAUACACAUCACAAAACACAAAUCACAGACAAAGAACACAUAUUACAUACGCAUUACACAAAACACAUACACAACACAAUACACACCCAAGAGGCCAAGACCCAACACAGCUUCACCUAGUAGCCCUCACAUCAAGCCGCCGACAGCCACAGCCACGAACCCACAACCAUCUCCCUCGCUCAACUUCUCAUCUCUGUUAACUCAACUUCUCAUCUCUAUUGCACCAGCAAUUUCUCAUUCUAGACCAGAAGCAAGACCCCUCUUCACGCUCGAUCCCAAUUUGUUGCGUGUCUGCGGCCACCCAAGGGCUUCAAGGGCUGAGCUUUCCGCUGCCUUGAACCCAACAGAACGGCAUAUCUGAGACACCGCAACUUUUGUGACAGUGAAUGCGAACUCCAAGGGGGUUUCUUCUCCUUAUUCUGUUGGCUUUUGAUUUUGUUUUUGGUGUUUUUUUUUCUGGGGUUUCAUCGUUAGUGUACUGGAGCAGAGACUCUUUAAUUAGAUUCCAGAAGAGUCGCCCUAGUCGAUUUUGAUUUUUGAUGGCCUU
rnacentral:lncRNA from 1 species